rnacentral:rRNA from 1 species
UACGUAGGGUGCAAGCGUUGUCCGGAAUUAUUGGGCGUAAAGAGCUCGUAGGCGGUUUGUCGCGUCUGCUGUGAAAACCCGAGGCUCAACCUCGGGCCUGCAGUGGGUACGGGCAGACUAGAGUGGCGGUAGGGGAGAUUGGAAUUCCUGGUGUAGCGGUGAAAUGCGUAGAUAUCAGGAGGACACCGGUGGCGAAGGCGGCUACCUGGACAGAAACUGACGCUGAGGCGCGAAAGCUAGGGGAGCAAACAGG